CCCAUCACCCAGCACAAGCUUUCGUGGAGAUGUGGACGUUCCUACCUCACCUCUCUCACAAAUGAGUGACCCUGAUGCUACUGAUGACUCUCAUCUGUCAAGUAGAGGUACCACAAGAUCGCACCUUGGUCCGGUGUCUGG